GACGAACGCUGGCGGCGUGCUUAACACAUGCAAGUCGAACGGAAAGGCCCUGCUUUUGUGGGGUGCUCGAGUGGCGAACGGGUGAGUAACACGUGAGUAACCUGCCCUUUACUUUGGGAUAACUUCAGGAAACUGGGGCUAAUACCGGAUAUGAGCUCCUGCUGCAUUGUGUGGGUUGGAAAGUUUCGGCGGUUGGGGAUGGACUCGCUGCUUAUCAGCUUGUUUGUGGGGUAGUUGCUUACCAAGGCUUUGACGGGUAGCCGGCCUGAGAGGGUGACCGGCAAAAUUGGGACUGAGAUACGGCACAGACUAGUACGGGAGGCAGCAGUGGGGAAGAUUGCACAAUGGGAGGAAGGAUGAUGAAGAAACGCGGCGUGCGGGAUGAAGGGCUUCGGGUUGUAAACAGAUUUAGAAUGUGAAGAAGAGUGAGUGACGGUAAUGGGUAAAGAAGCACCGGCUAACUACGUG
rnacentral:rRNA from 1 species